GAUGAAGAACGUAGCGAAAUGCGAUAAGUAGUGUGAAUUGCAGGAUUCCGUGAAUCAUCGAAUCUUUGAACGCACAUUGCGCCUUCUGGUAUUCCGGAAGGCAUGCCUGUUCGAGAGUCAUUAACAACCGUUUCGAUCCCUUUCUUUCAGAAAUUACAAAGAGGAAAAGGGUUUGGUUAUGGUGGAGGAGGGAAAGGGAGCGUUUAGCCUGUAAAAAAAGAGGCUGUGUUCCGCCCCCCCCCCAAAAUUGUACAGGCGGUCGUGUGCGCCCACGCAUCGAGGUGUUGUAAAAGCUGCCACGGCACUUUUCACCUGUGCAGUGCGAGAUUGGCCAGCCGGUUUAAAAACCCCUCCAAACAAUCAAAGGUUGACCUCGGAUCAGGUAGGGAUACCCGCUGAACUUAAGCAUAUCAAUAAGCGGAGGA
rnacentral:misc_RNA from 1 species